rnacentral:rRNA from 4 species
UAGAGUUUGAUCAUGGCUCAGGACGAACGCUGGCGGCGUGCCUAAUACAUGCAAGUCGAACGAACUCUGGUAUUGAUUGGUGCUUGCAUCAUGAUUUACAUUUGAGUGAGUGGCGAACUGGUGAGUAACACGUGGGAAACCUGCCCAGAAGCGGGGGAUAACACCUGGAAACAGAUGCUAAUACCGCAUAACAACUUGGACCGCAUGGUCCGAGUUUGAAAGAUGGCUUCGGCUAUCACUUUUGGAUGGUCCCGCGGCGUAUUAGCUAGAUGGUGGGGUAACGGCUCACCAUGGCAAUGAUACGUAGCCGACCUGAGAGGGUAAUCGGCCACAUUGGGACUGAGACACGGCCCAAACUCCUACGGGAGGCAGCAGUAGGGAAUCUUCCACAAUGGACGAAAGUCUGAUGGAGCAACGCCGCGUGAGUGAAGAAGGGUUUCGGCUCGUAAAACUCUGUUGUUAAAGAAGAACAUAUCUGAGAGUAACUGUUCAGGUAUUGACGGUAUUUAACCAGAAAGCCACGGCUAACUACGUGCCAGCAGCCGCGGUAAUACGUAGGUGGCAAGCGUUGUCCGGAUUUAUUGGGCGUAAAGCGAGCGCAGGCGGUUUUUUAAGUCUGAUGUGAAAGCCUUCGGCUCAACCGAAGAAGUGCAUCGGAAACUGGGAAACUUGAGUGCAGAAGAGGACAGUGGAACUCCAUGUGUAGCGGUGAAAUGCGUAGAUAUAUGGAAGAACACCAGUGGCGAAGGCGGCUGUCUGGUCUGUAACUGACGCUGAGGCUCGAAAGUAUGGGUAGCAAACAGGAUUAGAUACCCUGGUAGUCCAUACCGUAAACGAUGAAUGCUAAGUGUUGGAGGGUUUCCGCCCUUCAGUGCUGCAGCUAACGCAUUAAGCAUUCCGCCUGGGGAGUACGGCCGCAAGGCUGAAACUCAAAGGAAUUGACGGGGGCCCGCACAAGCGGUGGAGCAUGUGGUUUAAUUCGAAGCUACGCGAAGAACCUUACCAGGUCUUGACAUACUAUGCAAAUCUAAGAGAUUAGACGUUCCCUUCGGGGACAUGGAUACAGGUGGUGCAUGGUUGUCGUCAGCUCGUGUCGUGAGAUGUUGGGUUAAGUCCCGCAACGAGCGCAACCCUUAUUAUCAGUUGCCAGCAUUAAGUUGGGCACUCUGGUGAGACUGCCGGUGACAAACCGGAGGAAGGUGGGGAUGACGUCAAAUCAUCAUGCCCCUUAUGACCUGGGCUACACACGUGCUACAAUGGAUGGUACAACGAGUUGCGAACUCGCGAGAGUAAGCUAAUCUCUUAAAGCCAUUCUCAGUUCGGAUUGUAGGCUGCAACUCGCCUACAUGAAGUCGGAAUCGCUAGUAAUCGCGGAUCAGCAUGCCGCGGUGAAUACGUUCCCGGGCCUUGUACACACCGCCCGUCACACCAUGAGAGUUUGUAACACCCAAAGUCGGUGGGGUAACCUUUUAGGAACCAGCCGCCUAAGGUGGGACAGAUGAUUAGGGUGAAGUCGUAACAAGGUAGCCGUAGGAGAACCUGCGGUUGGAUCACCUCCUUA